UUUGAAACCAAUGCCACAUCUGUUUUAUUUGCAGGUGACAAUAUGUACAGUUGUGAAAAAUGCAAAAAGUUGAGAAAUGGAGUAAAGUUUUGUAAAGUACAAAAGUUUCCUGAGAUUUUAUGCAUCCACCUUAAAAGAUUCAGACAUGAACUAAUGUUUUCCACCAAAAUCAGUACCCAUGUUUCAUUUCCGCUGGAAGGCUUGGAUCUUCAGCCAUUUCUUGCUAAGGAUAGUCCAGCUCAAAUUGUGACAUAUGAUCUUCUGUCAGUCAUUUGCCAUCAUGGAACUGCAAGUAGUAAGUAUAUAGGUUUAACAGUUGUUCCUAGAUUUAAAAAAAAAUUAAAAUAAGCCUGGGCGUGGUGGCUCAUACCUGUAAUUACCAGCC
rnacentral:sRNA from 1 species